rnacentral:tRNA from 2 species
GGUCCGGAAAGCUCACAGGGAGCAAUGCGGAAUCUGCAAAAGCAGACAACACGCACCAACGGCGGUUCGACCCCGCCCCGGACCGCCA